rnacentral:rRNA from 1 species
AUUGAACGCUGGCGGCAGGCCUAACACAUGCAAGUCGAGCGGAUGAAGGGAGCUUGCUCCUGGAUUCAGCGGCGGACGGGUGAGUAAUGCCUAGGAAUCUGCCUGGUAGUGGGGGAUAACGUCCGGAAACGGGCGCUAAUACCGCAUACGUCCCGAGGGAGAAAGUGGGGGAUCUUCGGACCUCACGCUAUCAGAUGAGCCUAGGUCGGAUUAGCUAGUUGGUGGGGUAAAGGCCUACCAAGGCGACGAUCCGUAACUGGUCUGAGAGGAUGAUCAGUCACACUGGAACUGAGACACGGUCCAGACUCCUACGGGAGGCAGCAGUGGGGAAUAUUGGACAAUGGGCGAAAGCCUGAUCCAGCCAUGCCGCGUGUGUGAAGAAGGUCUUCGGAUUUUAAAGCACUUUAAGUUGGGAGGAAGGGCAGUAAGUUAAUACCUUGCUGUUUUGACGUUACCAACAGAAUAAGCACCGGCUAACUUCGUG